GCCUUCUUGGCCAAGCGGUAAGGCGUUGCACUUGUAAUGCAAAGAUCACUCGUUCGAAUCGGGUAGGAGGCA
rfam:Pleurotus ostreatus PC15 unplaced genomic scaffold scaffold_10, whole genome shotgun sequence.